GACAUCAACUGGAAUUUUUAUUGCCCACUCACAACGUCUUUAUGCAAAAGUUCACACUUAGCACUUGAAAUUGCUGCAUUGCUAAAGAAUUUUGAAACAGAAAGCAGCCAUGUCCCUGGACAGUGAUGUGUACUGCUCUUCUCCAGUGGUUUCAGAUAUCUCCUUUGUACUGCAAUCCUGAACUGUGUAGACUUUGGACAACACUACUGGCAUCCUGCUAGUCCUGCAGAGGUUCUCACAGGUCACCCAGUGACCAGCACUGCACACAGCAUCACUGG